AGGAGAAAGAGGGGGAGGGAGAGAGGGGAGGAGGGAGGGAGGGAGGGAGGGAGGGGUUUCUGGAGAGAAGACAGAAGAGAAGGGGGGAGAAAAGAGGAGGGGGAGACAUAUAAAAGCCCCCUGUAGUUCGAGCCACACUUUAUCCAGCCCGUGUCUCCAGCUCUGUCCACAGUCACCGAGAAGCCCUAUCUCUCUCUCUCUCUCUCUAACACACACUCUUACACACACACUCAUACACUCGCUCAGAAUCUCGACUGCUCAACGUGUGGCUCUCUGUCUCACAGAAGUACUCGCACAAACUUUGAUUGGCUGCACGCUCGCUCUUUCACACACACACACACGCUCUCACACUCACACGUUCGCGCUCCUCGGUACGACCUUCAGCAGCUGCGCUCACAAAGAAAGGAUGAUGAGAGACUCCACGAGGAGAAUGAAUGACUUCUGGGGAAGGAUGUCUGUCGCUCUGCUGUUCUGUGCCCUGCUCCUACAAGGUGGAUUCUGCCAGGAUGAUGCUGCCACUGACGCCACUGACGCCCCCGCCGUCACUGACUCCGCCGCCGUCCCAGCCAGGGGUGAUGGGGACCCCACUGAUGCUCCCGGGGGGGACCCCCAAACUCCUAUCGAAAUCUCGGUUCCCACAAUCUUCCCGCUUGGAGGAGAGACUGACAACACAGGCGUCACCUUGGCAACCACAGCCCCAGAUGCUGCCACAGACGAUGCUGGGGCCGCAGACCAGACAGGGGUCACCGCCGCCACCACUGCCUCCGGUGCCCUAGAUACCGUCGUCACUCAGGAGCCCGCGGCCCCUGCAGACAGCGACACCAGCCAGACCUCCCAGACUCCCGUCCCACACGACUCGGCAGGCAGUGAUGUCACUCAGGCGCCGGCCGUAGUUGUGCAGACCGACAAACCAACAGUAUCAGUCGAGUGUGUGAGCCAAGAUGCAGUGAAAGACAAAACUAUGGUGAAGAUUGAGUUGGAAUCUCCAAUGGACUGUAACAUUGUCAAGAAGGACAUAGAGGAGGCCUUUUGCCGGGACAAACAGUUCUGUGAAAUUUUCAUCACCCAGGAAGAAAAUAUGUUGACGUUGUCAGGAGAAACCAUCGAGGAAAACGCGGUAGCAGCAUCAAAGAAGCUCCAGGAGAGUCCGCUGAAGGAUGCGGUAUGAACUUACUGACUUUAUUCGUUUGAUUGAAUCAUCAGUUAUGAUUCACAGAGCUCCAUUUCAAAGCACCCAGAGGAACACUGGUAUUGGUAGUUGACACACAUAUUUAGUUAGCACCUCUGCAUAUAGUAGAGAUAUAAGAUAGAAGUGCGAGCUUCAUGUCUGUGCUAUUUUGGUUCACUAUGUCCACAAGCUGUGCGUGUCUACAUUAAUGCCUGAUCAGACCACAACACAGGCAUAUUGAUUUUCCAGGGAGCA
rnacentral:lncRNA from 1 species